ensembl:misc_RNA 7SK 7SK RNA
GGAUGUGAGGGUGAUCUGGCUGCAACAUCUGUCAUCCCAUUGAUCCCCAGGGUUGAUUUGGCUGAUCUGUCUGUCUAGGCGGGUUUCUCCUUCCUCUCUCACUGCUCGAUAUGCAUUCCUCCCGAAGCUGCGUGCUCAGUCAGAGAGGAUGACCAUCUUUGAUAGAGGAGGACAGUUCUUUGGUCAAGGGUAUACGAGUAGCUGUGCUCCCCUGCUAGAACCUCCAAACAAGUUCUCAAGAAGGGCCAUAGAAUGAAUUUGGGAGAGUGUUCCAUCCUUUUGGAUCUUUAGAAAGAACUUGGGCAGAAUGGGGGUUAACUCUUC